rnacentral:rRNA from 1 species
CGCUAGCUACAGGCUUAACACAUGCAAGUCGAGGGGCAGCAUUUUAGUUUGCUUGCAAACUGAAGAUGGCGACCGGCGCACGGGUGAGUAACACGUAUCCAACCUGCCGAUAACUCCGGAAUAGCCUUUCGAAAGAAAGAUUAAUACCGGAUAGCAUACGAAUAUCGCAUGAUAUUUUUAUUAAAGAAUUUCGGUUAUCGAUGGGGAUGCGUUCCAUUAGUUUGUUGGCGGGGUAACGGCCCACCAAGACUACGAUGGAUAGGGGUUCUGAGAGGAAGGUCCCCCACAUUGGAACUGAGACACGGUCCAAACUCCUACGGGAGGCAGCAGUGAGGAAUAUUGGUCAAUGGGCGAGAGCCUGAACCAGCCAAGUAGCGUGAAGGAUGAAGGCUCUAUGGGUCGUAAACUUCUUUUAUAUGGGAAUAAAGUUUUCCACGUGUGGAAUUUUGUAUGUACCAUAUGAAUAAGGAUCGGCUAACUCCGUGCCAGCAGCCGCGGUAAUACGGAGGAUCCGAGCGUUAUCCGGAUUUAUUGGGUUUAAAGGGAGCGUAGGUGGAUUGUUAAGUCAGUUGUGAAAGUUUGCGGCUCAACCGUAAAAUUGCAGUUGAAACUGGCAGUCUUGAGUACAGUAGAGGUGGGCGGAAUUCGUGGUGUAGCGGUGAAAUGCUUAGAUAUCACGAAGAACUCCGAUUGCGAAGGCAGCUCACUAGACUGUCACUGACACUGAUGCUCGAAAGUGUGGGUAUCAAGCAGGAUUAGAUACCCUGGUAGUCCACACAGUAAACGAUGAAUACUCGCUGUUUGCGAUAUACAGUAAGCGGCCAAGCGAAAGCAUUAAGUAUUCCACCUGGGGAGUACGCCGGCAACGGUGAAACUCAAAGGAAUUGACGGGGGCCCGCACAAGCGGAGGAACAUGUGGUUUAAUUCGAUGAUACGCGAGGAACCUUACCCGGGCUUAAAUUGCAACAGAAUAUAUUGGAAACAGUAUAGCCGUAAGGCUGUUGUGAAGGUGCUGCAUGGUUGUCGUCAGCUCGUGCCGUGAGGUGUCGGCUUAAGUGCCAUAACGAGCGCAACCCUUAUCUUUAGUUACUAACAGGUCAUGCUGAGGACUCUAGAGAGACUGCCGUCGUAAGAUGUGAGGAAGGUGGGGAUGACGUCAAAUCAGCACGGCCCUUACGUCCGGGGCUACACACGUGUUACAAUGGGGGGUACAGAAGGCGGCUACCUGGUGACAGGAUGCUAAUCCCAAAAACCUCUCUCAGUUCGGAUCGAAGUCUGCAACCCGACUUCGUGAAGCUGGAUUCGCUAGUAAUCGCGCAUCAGCCAUGGCGCGGUGAAUACGUUCCCGGGCCUUGUACACACCGCCCGUCAAGCCAUGAAAGCCGGGGGUACCUGAAGUACGUAACCGCAAGGAGCGUCCUAGGGUAAAACUAGUAAUUGGGG